UCUCAGACCCCCGCCACCUUGCCAGCUUCCCCGGUUUUCUCUGCCCCCCCUUCCAAGUUCUCCCGUCCCCAUACCCCCGCGGACUGGCCCCAUGUGCUACCUCCGGGGAGCCGCCGACGGCCGCGCUCGUCAGGCUUCGGGACACCACCUGUGGAGGGAGCGCGGGAGGAGGUUUCAGGGGACUCCCUGCACCAAGGACCUCCCCCACCACCCCGCACCCGCCGCCCGCCGCCCUCACCUCGUUGUACUCGGAAAAAUCCAGCACGGCCCGCACCGGAGCAGAGGAGGCGACGGAGGCGAAGAUGAGGUGUUUCCGUGUCUUCCCCGACUUUCCGAAGUAGGCUGCAGUUAGUGCCUUCCUAGGGCACUUGGAACCUCAUACAACUUGUGAAAAUGUGGGGAGACAGAGAAGCGUGGAGGCACAGAGACAGAGGUGGAGAUAGAGAUGACAGAGGUGAGAGUGAGACCGAGAAAGGCCGAGACUGACACAGCCGGAGACCAGGAGAGGGUCCAGGACACUGGCCAGCGGCGGGGGCCCUGGCUGUAUAUGGAAACGCUAAGCCGAGGAUAAGUGACGGGUGCAGACCAAUUUGGAAGCAGGGCCUAGGGGAGCUGACCUGCACACACUGUGCACACAGGAGGUGUGAAAAAUGGGGCAAGUGUUCAUCCAUCAGAUCCCUUCCAGUUCCUCUCGUGAGUUCUUUGACCCCACAACGUCUGCACUGGAUAAUUCGGGGCCAGGCCGGUGUUACCCCAGGGCCCAGCUACUCUGCAGACACCUGGCGGGGAAAUCCUGGGCCGACUCCUGGGGGUGUCCUCAUCUGCCGUCAGCUCCUGCCUCUGACCUUGCAAGACGCUCUGACCUUCACCUCUCCACGACUGAACAGUGUCCUGUAGGAGCCGGAGCCGACUGGCGAGAGGACGCUGGUCUCCGGCCACGGGUGGCAUCCACGUGGCCAGCACGCCCGCGCUGUGUCUGAACCGCUGGGCAUCGCCGCGCAGCCAUCGGUCGGGGCCAGGGUGGCCUCGCUUCCGCCGACCACCUAGGAGAGACAGGUACCAGACGUCGUCUCUGUUGCCAAAGGGGCAAACGGCCCCACGGACUCCUUGCUGUGUGGAGCCGAGGGGCCUGGAGAACUGAGAUCCCAUCAGGCACGACACCCACCUGAGCGCUUUUCCUUCGCGCUGGAGGCCUGUCGGGAUCCUGGCGGUGAGGUUUGUUAGACACCCGCUUUAAACACUCCUGAAUGAGACACUUUACCCAGGUUUGAAAACAAAAGUCAGGGCAGCGGUUCGUGCAAAGAUGUACAACAAGAAAUACAUCGCCUGGAUGGGCUUGGGAGAGUGUAAACACGAGGCAGGAAAAAUUUAUCCGUGGACUAAUCAGCAGCGAGCUAAUAUGUAGAUCUAUUUCUCCCACUAUGGAUUUAUUAAGGUUUCGUGCAUAUAUUGGCAGCUUCCUCAUGCAUAAUUAUCUCAGCUUAGCUUUGUGAACCGUAUCCAGCGGUUUUUACCGAGCCUGAGGAAUGUUAAUAAAAAGUUCUCCUAAGUAUGGUUAUGGCUUUCAUCAAAGAAAGACAUAUUUAAUCAGCUUAGAACUGAAAUGUAAGUUCCCCAAGGAAAAGGAUGUUUUGUCUCUUGUACCCACCGCUUUAUUCCGAACUGUUCAACAACGCUGGGCUGGUAAUAGGGGUUCAAUGGAUGUUCCUUGAAUGAGUGAAUGGAUGAUGGAUGAAUUAAUGAAUGAUUAAGCAGGACCAAGUAAAAAUCAAGAAUGGAAUUUCGGACCUCUAAACCUAACUUUUCUCCCAGUGUAUUCUAAAGAAUGGGCCUUUCACACACGUGCCAGAUGAGAUGCUUUUAAGGUUCCUCAGCACUUAGAAUGCCCUCCUCACUUGGCUUGUGAUUAGACUGUCCUUGGACCUGUUAGCUGUAACCAAUUUUUUUUUUUUUGUCAGCUUCCUGCUCUUUCUUGCAUUUGUGCCUGUCCUCAGCAACGACCUCGUGUCCUAAUGUAGUGGCUGUUACCUGUACUUUGCCUGAAGAAGCCCCCAA